rnacentral:rRNA from 1 species
GUCCCCUUCGGGGGAUGAGUAGAGUGGCGCACGGGUGAGUAACACGUAGGUAAUCUACCUUCGGGUGGGGAAUAACCCAGGGAAACUUGGGCUAACACCGCAUAAUGCAGCGGCACCACAUGGUGACAGUUGUUAAAGCGGGGGAUUUUCGGACCUCGCGCCUGAAGAGGAGCCUGCGGCAGAUUAGCUAGUUGGUAGGGUAACGGCUUACCAAGGCGACGAUCUGUAGCCGGCCUGAGAGGGCGGUCGGCCACACUGACACUGACAUACGGGUCAGACUCCUACGGGAGGCAGCAGUCGGGAAUUUUGGGCAAUGGGCGAAAGCCUGACCCAGCAACGCCGCGUGAAGGAUGAAAUCCCUCGGGAUGUAAACUUCGCAAGAAUGGGAAGAAUUAGUAGGGGUUAAUACCCCCUAUGAUGACGGUACCAUUUGUAAGCUCCGGCUAACUCCGUGCCAGCAGCCGCGGUAAUACGGGGGGAGCAAGCGUUGUUCGGAUUUACUGGGCGUAAAGGGCGCGUAGGCGGUCAGC